rnacentral:rRNA from 1 species
GACGAACGCUGGCGGCGUGCUUAACACAUGCAAGUCGAGCGGAGAGGCGAACGGGGGAGUAACGCGUGAGUAACUGACCACCUCGCUGGGAUAAAAGCUGGAAACGGGUGCUAAUACCGGAUAGUGGGGGAUGACUCGCGUCAUAUCAGGUUGUUGGGGGGGUAGUGGCCUACCAAGGCGACGACGGUUAGCCGGCCUGAGAGGGCGUCCGGCCACAUUGGGCUGAAAUACGGCCAAAACUCGUACGGGAGGCAGCGGUGGGGAAUAUUGCGCAGUUGGGGAGACCCUGAUGCAGAAACGCCGCGUGCGGGAUGACGGCCUUCGAGUUGUAAACCGCUUUCAGCCAUGACGCGGUAGUGGCAGAAGAAGCACCGGCUAACUACGUGCCAGCAUCCGCGGUAAUAC